rnacentral:rRNA from 1 species
GUCCACGCCGUAAACGAUGAGUGCUAGGUGCUGCGGGUAUUGACCCCUGCGGUGCCGUAGCUAACGCGUUAAGCACUCCGCCUGGGGAUUACGGCCGCAAGGCUAAAACUCAAAGGAAUUGACGGGGGACCCGCACAAGCGGUGGAGCAUGUGGUUCAAUUCGACGCAACGCGCAGAACCUUACCUGGGUUAAAUCCACUCGAACCUCGCAGAGAUGUGGGGGUGCUCUUCGGAGAGCGAGUGAGAAGGUGCUGCAUGGCUGUCGU